rnacentral:lncRNA from 1 species
GGAGAUUGGGUCUUCUACGCUGUGAGAGCACUGGUAUCUCAGCUUUUCAGCCUCAGUGGUCAUGUUCAGGGUCAUGGGCUCAGGGUCAUGGGCUCAGGGUCAGUUCCUUUCCUUGUCUUUGGGGCACAGUGCUCUGGACACACGUGUACACCACAGGGUGGACCUGGGAAUGGCUCAGACCCACUGCUCAGGCCAAGAUAGGCUGACACACACAAGCCUGUGGUGAACGGGCGCUCAUACAGCUUUGUAGGUAGGCCUCUGGCACCUUGCAGUUUCUUCCCACCCCUCAAGUCAGGAAGUAGUGGUAGCAGAAAGCACAGUGGUGGGAGAGGAGCCCACCCACCUGCCAAUAGCUGCUGGGAUGGGACUGGGCCCCCAGGCCCUGCUGCCACAUGCAGAAGCAGCUGUCACGCCUGCUCUCUUUGCCCCCAGCUGCUGGUGAGCUGGGGCAGCACCUCCACCAUCUACCAUCACAUCCACAAGCUCUUCACUUACAGGAUGGGAAUCACGCUUCAGCAAGCCCUCGAUGCUCUAGCCACCAGCUGGCCCCAGACCACCCAGGCUUGCCCUCUCCAGGGUGCACGCUCUGCUGGGGCACACAUCAGGCCAAGGGGCCACCCAGGGGUUCCUCUGGGCUCAUGCCUAAGCCUGGACAUGCAGCCAGGGGGUCUGCACCCAGGAGUGAUGCUUGCCUGGAGCAGCACUGAGCAGGGGAGGCAAGGUGGCCUCUACCCUGCUGUCCCAAGGAGGCAGGCAGUUGGGAACAGUUCAUUGGCUGUAGCCUGACCAAAUGACUUCAGACUGUGGCAUCCAGGCUGCUGGCAGGCUCAGCUGUGCUGAGUGAUAAACCUUUUGGAUGCCGUCUGGAGGACCUGGCCACAGAGCGAACAGCAGGGCUGUGGCUUCUCACAGAAGGGGACAUGGGGAGGUUGUUGCUGGAGGGGACCUGAACCAUCAGCUACGAACAUGGGCAGCAUGCCAGGUCAUUCUCCAGAGGCACACCCAGCACAGCUAACGCCUUCUAAACAUUUGCCAAACCAACAGGUGAGGACUGCUCCCUGCUGGUGGCUCCUUCUGGAUUCCUAAUGGGGCUGACUUUCUUCCUGUCCUUACUGGCCUCUGGUUUCCUCCUCUGCAUUCUCUUCCCAGCUCGUCUCUUG